AUGCGCGGCCCGCACCGCCCUUGCCUCGCACGGCGCCCCUCCUCGUGUCCUCCGCCUCGGGGUCCUCCUCCCGAGUUCUCCUACUCCGCUCCCCCCAGCUUCUCCUCUCCCCAGCUUCUCCUCUUUCUCCCCAGCUUCUCCUCCUCCCCGCCCCCCCCCCCCCCGCUUCUCCUCUCCUGCAGCUUCUCCUCUCCCCGCCAACUUCUCUUCCUCUCCCCCACCAGCUUCUCCUCUUCCUCCCAAGCUUCUCCUUCUCUCCCCCACCAGCUUCUCCUCUUCCCUCUCCCGUUUCUCCUCUUCCCCACCCCCAGCUCCUCCUCUCCCCCACCAGCUUGUCCUGUUCCCCACCAGCUUGUCCUCUCCCGACCCCAGCUUGUCCUCUCCCCCGCAGCUUGUCCUCUCCCCUGCCAGCUUCUCCUUUCCUCCACCAGCUCCUCCUCCUCUCCCCCGCCAGCUUCUCCUCCUCCCCCCCACCAGCUUCUCCUCUUUUUCCCGUUUCUCCUCUCCCCCACAGCUUCUCCUCCUCCCCGCCCCCAACUUCUCCUCUCCCCACCAGCUUGUCCUCUUCCCCCCAGCUUCUCUUCUUCCCCCCAGCUUCUCUCCCCCGCAGCUUGUCCUCUCCCCCGCCAGCUUCUCCUUUCCUCCACCAGCUUCUCCUCCACUCCCCCACCAGCUUCUCCUCUUUCUCCCCAGUUUCUCCUCUCCCCCACAGCUUUUCCUCCUCCCCCCACCCCCAACUUCUCCUCUCCCCCCCGUUUCUCCUCUCCCCCACAGCUCCUCCUCUCCCCCACCAGCUUCUCCUCUCCCCGCCCAGCUUCCCUGCUGCCCCUCAACUUCCCCCUCUCCUCCCCCAUCUUGCGCUCUUCCCAUAAGCUUCUCCUCUCCCCCGACCAGCUUCUCCUCUCCUCCCCCCCUGCUUCUCCUCUCCUCCCCCCCCAGCUUCUCCUCUCCCCCCAGCUUCCCCUCUCCACCCCCAGCUUCCCCUCUCCCACUCCCCCAGCUUCCCCUCUCCCACUCCCCCAGCUUCCCCUCUCCCACUCCCCCAGCUUCCCCUCCCCCCACCCCCAGCUUCUCCUCUCCCCGCCCCAGCUUCUGCUCUUCCUCCCCAGCUUCUCCGUUCAGUGCUCUCCUUCUGAGUCCCAAGCCCGGCCCUCACGUGUCCCCAGUCAGCACACUGCCCCGGGAUCCACUUGA
rnacentral:lncRNA from 1 species